rnacentral:rRNA from 1 species
AUUUUGGACAAUGGGGGGAACCCUGAUCCAGCCAUCCCGCGUGUGUGAUGAAGGCCUUCGGGUUGUAAAGCACUUUUGACAGGGAAGAAACAGCACCGGCUAAUACCCGGUGCCAAUGACGGUACCUGUAGAAUAAGCACCGGCUAACUACGUGCCAGCAGCCGCGGUAAUACGUAGGGUGCAAGCGUUAAUCGGAAUUACUGGGCGUAAAGCGUGUGUAGGCGGUUCGGAAAGAAAGAUGUGAAAUCCCAGGGCUCAACCUUGGAACUGCAUUUUUAACUGCCGAGCUAGAGUAUGUCAGAGGGGGGUAGAAUUCCACGUGUAGCAGUGAAAUGCGUAGAUAUAGGAAGGAACACCAGUGGCGAAGGCGACCACCUGGGCUAAUACUGACACUGAGGUGCGAAAGCGUGGGGAGCAAACA